rnacentral:rRNA from 1 species
CCCUUAGACACUCUCGGCGGCACGCGCGCUACAAUGGGUGGAAGAACGUGUUACUGCCUCCGAAAGGAGGGGUGAAUCACGAAUUCUUGCCCGUGAAUGGGAUAGUUUGUUGCAAUUUUCGGACUUGAACUAGGAAUCCCUUGUAAACAUGCUCAAGAAUAGCGUGUUGAAUACGUCCCUGCCGUUUGUACACACCGCCCGUCGUUUCUUCCGACUGAUACUCAUUGUGAGUUGCAAGGACCCUUUAUUGGGAAAUUGCUGCAAAUGCUUUGUAUUGGAGGAAGAAAAAGUCGUAACA